rnacentral:rRNA from 1 species
AGAGUUGAUCCUGGCUCAGAACGAACGCUGGCAGCGUGGAUUAGGCAUGCAAGGUCGAACGGGAUCCGGAAGGUAGGCAAUAUCGGCCGGUGAGAGUGGCGGAAGGGCGAGGAACACGUGGGCAACCUGUCCUUGAGGUGGGGAAAACCGUUGGAAACGACGGCUAAUACCGAAUGUGGCGCCGGGAGGCAUCUUCCGCGCGCUAAAGGGGGCCGCAAGGCUCCCCCUCUUCGAGGGGCUCGCGCACCAUCAGCUUGUUGGCGGGGUAACGGCCCACCAAGGCUCACGGUUAGCUGGUCUGAGAGGAUGGCCAGCCGCACUGGGACUGAGAUACUGCCCAGACUCCUACGGGAGGCUGCAGUCGAGGAUCAUUCGCAAUGGGGGAAACCCUGACGAUGCGACGCUGCGUGGAGGAUGAAGGCCCUCGGGUCGUAAACUCCUGUCAUGAGGGAAAAGGCGAGGGGACCCAACACGUCCCUUAGUUGAUGGUACCUCAAGAGGAACGGGCGGCUAACUCUGUGCCAGCCGCCGC